CCGCCUCGGCCCCCGCCCCAGCCUCCGCCCCAGCUCCCGCCCCCGCGGGAGCUCGCCGCAGACUUCAUCUGGACCCCUGGUCCCGCGGGCGCCCGGCAGUCUCCAAGGCACAGGACGCAAACCUGGGGUCCAGUCCUGGCCACCUGCUUGCUGUCUAGUCUCGGGAAGCUUACCUGACUCUGUCCCCGAGAAUCUUGUUUGAAAUGGGGCAAGUUUUUGAACUAAGUCUCAUCAUCCUGCAUGUAAAAUAGAACCUAUCGCAAAGCACCAAGGACAGCAACAAACCGGCCAACACACGGCUUUAGUGUCAGCACCACGGACAGCCACAAAAUGGGUGCCGUUUUCACUACUGGUGGCAGUUUUGGGGGCCAAGCCGAGAGCUCGGCCUGUGGGUACGUGGUGUAAGCAACUGGGUGAGCUCCUUAAUAAUGGAGCUAAGUGUCUGUUUCAAAGAGACAAACAGUACCUGAAGAUCAGGGUACAUGUGGGGCAGAGCAUGCUGAAUGCUCCAUAUGUACACAUAUUAAAAGCUUUUCUUCCAUCUUGGUCUUCAAUUCUCUCUGUCUUACAUUCAUCAACAAAAAUACCAGCUCUGGUUGUC